rnacentral:rRNA from 1 species
GACGAACGCUGGCGGCGUGCUUAACACAUGCAAGUCGAACGGAAAGGCCCUGCUUUUGUGGGGUGCUCGAGUGGCGAACGGGUGAGUAACACGUGAGUAACCUGCCCUUGACUGUGGGAUAACUUCAGGAAACGGUGGCUAAUACCGGAUAGGAGCUCCUGCUGCAUGGUGGGGGUUGGAAAGUUUCGGCGGUUGGGGAUGGACUCGCGGCUGAUCAGCUUGUUGGUGGGGUAGUGGCUUACCAAGGCUUUGACGGGUAGCCGGCCUGGGAGGGUGACCGGCCACAUUGGGACUGAGGUACGGACCAGAAGCCUACGGGCGGCAGCGGUGGGGAAUAUUGCACAGUGGGCGGAAGCCUGAUGCAGCAACGCCGCGUGCGGGAUGACGGCCUUCGGGUUAUGAACCGCUUUGGCAUGUGACGAAGCGUGAGUGACGGUAAUGGGUAAAGAAGCACCGGCUAACUACGUG